CCUACGGGGCGCAGCAGUGGGGAAUAUUGCACAAUGGGGGGAACCCUGAUGCAGCGACGCCGCGUGAGUGAAGAAGUAUUUCGGUAUGUAAAGCUCUAUCAGCAGGGAAGAAAAUGACGGUACCUGACUAAGAAGCCCCGGCUAACUACGUGCCAGCAGCCGCGGUAAUACGUAGGGGGCAAGCGUUAUCCGGAUUUACUGGGUGUAAAGGGAGCGUAGACGGUUAUGCAAGUCUGAAGUGAAAGCCCAAGGCUCAACCAUGGGACUGCUUUGGAAACUGUGGAACUGGAGUGCUGGAGAGGCAAGCGGAAUUCCUAGUGUAGCGGUGAAAUGCGUAGAUAUUAGGAGGAACACCAGUGGCGAAGGCGGCUUGCUGGACAGUAACUGACGUUGAGGCUCGAAAGCGUGGGGAGCAAACAGGAUUAGAUACCCCAGUAGUC
rnacentral:rRNA from 1 species